CGGGGGGGGUCUAUCAUGCAGUCGAGCGAUGGAUUAAGAGCUUGCUCUUAUGAAGUUAGCGGCGGACGGGUGAGUAACACGUGGGUAACCUGCCCAUAAGACUGGGAUAACUCCGGGAAACCGGGGCUAAUACCGGAUAACAUUUUGAACCGCAUGGUUCGAAAUUGAAAGGCGGCUUCGGCUGUCACUUAUGGAUGGACCCGCGUCGCAUUAGCUAGUUGGUGAGGUAACGGCUCACCAAGGCAACGAUGCGUAGCCGACCUGAGAGGGUGAUCGGCCACACUGGGACUGAGACACGGCCCAGACUCCUACGGGAGGCAGCAGUAGGGAAUCUUCCGCAAUGGACGAAAGUCUGACGGAGCAACGCCGCGUGAGUGAUGAAGGCUUUCGGGUCGUAAAACUCUGUUGUUAGGGAAGAACAAGUGCUAGUUGAAUAAGCUGGCACCUUGACGGUACCUAACCAGAAAGCCACGGCUAACUACGUGCCAGCAGCCGCGGUAAUACGUAGGUGGCAAGCGUUAUCCGGAAUUAUUGGGCGUAAAGCGCGCGCAGGUGGUUUCUUAAGUCUGAUGUGAAAGCCCACGGCUCAACCGUGGAGGGUCAUUGGAAACUGGGAGACUUGAGUGCAGAAGAGGAAAGUGGAAUUCCAUGUGUAGCGGUGAAAUGCGUAGAGAUAUGGAGGAACACCAGUGGCGAAGGCGACUUUCUGGUCUGUAACUGACACUGAGGCGCGAAAAGCGUGGGGAGCAACAGGAUUAGAUACCCUGGUAGUCCACGCCGUAAACGAUGAGUGCUAAGUGUUAGAGGGUUUCCGCCCCUUUAGUGCUGAAGUUAACGCAUUAAGCACUCCGCCUGGGGAGUACGGCCGCAGGCUUGAAAACUCAAAGGAUUGACGGGGGCCCGCACUAAUGCUGGUAGGAACCUAUGUGGUUUAAAUUAUACGCA
rnacentral:rRNA from 1 species